rnacentral:rRNA from 1 species
GAUGAACGCUGGCGGCGUGCCUAAUACAUGCAAGUCGAGCGAACAGACGAGGAGCUUGCUCCUCUGAUGUUAGCGGCGGACGGGUGAGUAACACGUGGAUAACCGACCUAUAAGACUGGGAUAACUUCGGGAAACCGGAGCUAAUACCGGAUUACAUGUUGAACCGCAUGGUUCAACAGUGAAAGACGUUCUUGCUGUCACUAAUAGAUGGAUCCGCGCCGCAUUAGCUAGUUGGUAAGGUAACGGCUUACCAAGGCAACGAUGCGUAGCCGACCUGAGAGGGUGAUCGGCCACACUGGAACUGAGACACGGUCCAGACUCCUACGGGAGGCAGCAGUAGGGAAUCUUCCGCAAUGGGCGAAAGCCUGACGGAGCAACGCCGCGUGAGUGAAGAAGGUCUUCGGAUCGUAAAACUCUGUUAUUAGGGAAGAACAAAUGUGUAAGUAACUAUGCACGUCUUGACGGUACCUAAUCAGAAAGCCACGGCUAACUACGUG